rnacentral:rRNA from 1 species
UUCAUGGAGAGUUUGAUCCUGGCUCAGGACGAACGCUGGCGGCGUGCCUAAUACAUGCAAGUCGAGCGGACCGACGGGAGCUUGCUCCCUUAGGUUAGCGGCGGACGGGUGAGUAACACGUGGGUAACCUGCCUGUAAGACUGGGAUAACUCCGGGAAACCGGGGCUAAUACCGGAUGCUUAAUUGAACCGCAUGGUUCAAUUAUAAAAGGUGGCUUCGGCUACCACUUACAGAUGGACCCGCGGCGCAUUAGCUAGUUGGUGAGGUAACGGCUCACCAAGGCAACGAUGCGUAGCCGACCUG